AACGAACGCUGGCGGCAUGCCUAACACAUGCAAGUCGAACGAGACCUUCGGGUCUAGUGGCGCACGGGUGCGUAACGCGUGGGAAUCUGCCCUUGGGUUCGGAAUAACAGUUAGAAAUGACUGCUAAUACCGGAUGAUGACGUAAGUCCAAAGAUUUAUCGCCCAAGGAUGAGCCCGCGUAGGAUUAGCUUGUUGGUGAGGUAAAAGCUCACCAAGGCGACGAUCCUUAGCUGGUCUGAGAGGAUGAUCAGCCACACUGGGACUGAGACCCGGCCCGGACUCCUACGGGAGGCAGCAGUGGGGAAUAUUGGACAAUGGGCGGAGGCCUGAUCCCGCAAUGCCACGUGAGUGAUGAAGGCCUUAAGGUUGUAAAGCUCUUUUACCCGGGAUGAUAAUGACAGUACCGGGAGAAUAAGCCCCGGCUAACUCCGUGCCAGCCGCCGCCGUAACAC
rnacentral:rRNA from 1 species